CACGUAGGGCGCAAGCGUUGUUCGGAAUUACUGGGCGUAAAGGGCUCGUAGGCGGCCAACUAAGUCGGACGUGAAAUCCCUCGGCUUAACCGGGGAACUGCGUCCGAUACUGGAUGGCUUGAGUUUGGGAGAGGGAUGCGGAAUUCCAGGUGUAGCGGUGAAAUGCGUAGAUAUCUGGAGGAACACCGGUGGCGAAGGCGGCAUCCUGGACCAACACUGACGCUGAGGAGCGAAAGCCAGGGGAGCAAACGGG
rnacentral:rRNA from 1 species